rnacentral:rRNA from 1 species
AAAUUGAAGAGUUUGAUCAUGGCUCAGAUUGAACGCUGGCGGCAGGCCUAACACAUGCAAGUCGAACGGUAACAGGAAACAGCUUGCUGUUUCGCUGACGAGUGGCGGACGGGUGAGUAAUGUCUGGGAAACUGCCUGAUGGAGGGGGAUAACUACUGGAACCGGUAGCUAAUACAGCAUAGCGGCG